UUCGUGUUGCAUAAUCAUGUUAAGUUUAAAAACCGAUUUGUUUAAUUGGCACUAUUCAAUAGUUUUAAACUUUUAUUUACUAUUGUAUAAUAAUUGAAAAUGGAAAAGGAUGCACUUAAUACAACCUAAAAUUUAGGUAAUUUUACACAUUUCUUUAACUUUUUGUAUGAUCAAUAUUUUAACAAACCAAUAUUGAAUUUAUU
rnacentral:lncRNA from 1 species